CAGUCGCCGCGGGAAUACCAGCACCUCGAGUGGUCAGGAGGUUUAUUGGGCCUAAAGCAUCCGUAGCCGGUUGCAUAAGUUUUCGGUUAAAUCUAUGCGCUUAACGUAUAGGCCGCCGAAAAUACUGUGCAGCUAGGGAGUGGGAGAGGUACACGGUACUCGAUAGGAAGGGGUAAAAUCCUUUGAUCUAUUGAUGACCACCUGUGGCGAAGGCGGUGUACCAGAACACGUUCGACGGUGAGGGAUGAAAGCUGGGGGAGCAAACCGGAUUAGAUACCCGCGUAGUCCCUGUCUCUUAUAA
rnacentral:rRNA from 1 species